rnacentral:tRNA from 1 species
CCCCGUAGCUCAGUUGGUAGAGCAUGGUGUUUGCAACGCCAGGGUUGUGGGUUCGAUUCUCACGGGGG